AUGGUAGGAUAGAGGCCUACCAUGGUGGUAACGGGUAACGGGGUGUUAGGGCACGACACCGGAGAGGGAGCCUGAGAAACGGCUACCACAUCCAAGGAUGGCAGCAGGCGCGCAAAUUACCCAAUCCCGACACGGGGAGGUAGUGACAAUAAAUAACAAUACGGGAUUCUUUAGGAUCUCGUAAUUGGAAUGAGUACAAUUUAAAUCUCUUAACGAGGAACAAUUGGAGGGCAAGUCUGGUGCCAGCAGCCGCGGUAAUUCCAGCUCCAAUAGCGUAUAUUAAAGUUGUUGCAGUUAAAAAGCUCGUAGUUGAAUUUCGGGGUUAGUAGGUUGGUCAUGCCUCUGGUAUGUACUGGUCUCACUGAUUCCUCCUUCCUUAUGAACCGUAAUGCCAUUAAUUUGGUGUUGCGGGGAAUUUGGACUGUUACUUUGAAAAAAUUAGAGUGUUUAAAGCAAGCUAACGCUUGAAUACAUUAGCAUGGAAUAAUGAAAUAGGACGUUCGAUCUUAUUUUGUUGGUUUCUAGGAUUGACGUAAUGAUUAAUAGGGAUAGUUGGGGGCAUUAGUAUUCAAUUGUCAGAGGUGAAAUUCUUGGAUUUAUUGAAGACUAACUACUGCGAAAGCAUUUGCCAAGGAUGUUUUCAUUAAUCAAGAACGAAAGUUAGGGGAUCGAAGACGAUCAGAUACCGUCGUAGUCUUAACCAUAANCUAUGCCGACUAGGGAUCGGAUGA
rnacentral:rRNA from 1 species